GCUUUGAGGGUUAAUGGUAAAACACCCAACCGGCAAUUGGGGGAUCUGGGUUCAAGUCCCGGUUCGGGCU
rfam:Strigamia maritima strain Brora ctg7180001229431, whole genome shotgun sequence.